CUUUGAUGAUACCAAUACUGAAAUUUUAAGGAUGGCAACAAAGGAUCAUCUUGAGAUGGAGAAUGAAGAAUUAAACUUUGAUCCCACUAGCAUUGACUGGAUCGACUAUUUGAUGAAUGCACACAUUCCUGGCCUCAUUAAGUAUCAAAUGAAAUAG